rnacentral:lncRNA from 1 species
AGCGUCGUGCUCAAGCGAAAGCCUGCCGAACUUCAUGGAUCUUGACAAAUGCAUUGUCAUUCCAGAGGAUCUCUGCACAAACCCUGAAAUGCUGAUGCCGUUCACUGAAAGCCUGAUAAGUUGUGCGGUUGCAGCCAUUUCCGACUUGGAACUGCCAUCAAAAUUAUUCCUGAUGGAAGGGAUCGUGGUGAAUGUUCUGAAGAGCUUCGG